CAGACCAGAACCACUGAGGAACUUGGAAGAAAUGCUUUGACCUUUUGGAGAAACAGCUUCCCUCUAAGGAUGAGGUGUGUGAGAAAGGCAAACUUUAGUUUCUGGCACAGUUGUUUUGGAGAACUGGCAAAGUUCCUGCAAAGGUGCUCUGUUCAGCAUUGGAAUAAAUCAGAGGGCCUCAGGAGUCUUCUGUCAAACAAGGCUGCUUCAGAGAAGAUCCUUCCCUCACCCCACUGUUAUGAUACACCAAAUUUAUUAAGAUCUGAAAAAAUACAGGAGAAAACACCUGGAGGGAGAAAUCAGGGAGGACAUAGAGAUUAAUGUGCUGAAGCAGCUUCUACUUGCAACGACGAAAAAGUGGAAUUUUAGCUGCUUCUGAGGGACAGAAUAAGGCUAAUGAAAUCAUGUCAGGCUGCUGUACAAGAUGCUAAGGCAGGGAGUGAGAGGGAAGAUGCUGUGUUUCUAUGAGAAUUUCUUCCUAAUUUUCCCUAUAUAUUUUGUAUGUGAAUGAAGAAAUCGAUGCAGCUCUUCCUUCAUUUCAAUGAAAAAGGAACCUAUAAAAAAAUCCUGACAACUGGAUGCUGACCAGAAAGUAAAAUCAUUCUGUUUAUGAUCACUCCUGCCAUCUGCCAUUGGAGAGCUGAUGUAGUUGCAUUUGCAGAAUAGGAAUCCCUCUCCAAACUGCUGAAUGUGAAACAAGCAUUUUCCUAAAACAGCUUAAAAUCUCUGUAUUCAGUUGAAUAUUUGUUGCCAUGAAGGUCACAUUCUGUCCUGUUUCUUGCUUAGGACAAAUCCAUUUUUGGAGCUUCCUAUGCACAUGUGAGCAUUUGUUUUUGAAAGAAUACAUGCAAUGCUGGCACAGAUUCUCCUAUAAUUUAAAAUAGUGAAUUUAUUUGAUAAAACUGAUAGUUCUGACCAAGGAAGAACACUGGCAAGCACUUUUAUGAGUAACCUUCAGUGUUUUUUUCUAGAUCUCAAUCAGAAUACCAUUAGAAACACUAACUGUGUUUUAGGCAGCAGUAGAUAAUAUCUGUGGUUGGAUAGAGGAAUAAAUUCUUUGAUGCAGAUAAAAUAUUCGGAGUAAGACUUGUAGGCUGACUUUUCUUCGAUGCAUGUUGGCCCCCUAUUCAUUUUUUUGGUGUUAUUUUACCACGCCAAUACCUGGAUUUUGUGACACUACUUUACAAGUGGGUGUAGAUAGUGUCCAGUACUUAGUCUGAGACCUGAGCGAAAGUUGGAGAAUUGGAAACUGGACCUGCAAGUGCUAAAGUUUGGUUGAGGAAAGGCUGAGCAGAAAGAGGAAUGGGAUCUGCCUCUUUCUGUGUUUGUAAAUGCUGCCAGCAAGGUUUGUAACCUUUAUGUAACCAGAAUUGUUUAAAUUGCUGACACUUAGGGCUGCCUGUGGACUGCCAAAUCACAGCAGUGGUCUGGGAAGGGCGUUGGUUAUGGGAGGUUCCUCCAUUUUUGGUGGCUUUGUCUUCCAGCCUUGUUUGGCUAAAGGAGCACAACAAUUCCUGAAUGAUAUCCAGCUGCUUAUCAACCUUUUCUAUAGAAACUCAGCGCUACUAUGAUGGACCAGUUAUCCAAGGCUGUGUCCUGAUUCAGUUUCAGAGUAGAACUGCACAGGACAUGUGCCCUGGUCAGCAGGCAAACCUGGCUUCCCUCCCGGUGGAUUUCUAUGGAUUUGUUUGUAUCUGUUUGGAAAUUAAAGAAUUUGGCUCAGAGAUGUCUGAAUGGGCACAACCUGCUGCCCUCAGCAGAGAUACCUGUGCUGCUGCGCCAUAAAAAGACCAAGAAACCAACAGGCCCUUUUGCUUGUUCACACCUUUGGCCCCUUGCAUUUCUUCCUGCUACAAUCUGACUGUUGGAGCUCCCUAUACAAAGUUUAUCACUUUAUUCAGACUUUCAGGGUGAGGGUGAGGACAUAUAUGAGUAUCUUCCCUACUCUUUUUGGGUGAAGUCCAAAACUAGAUGGCACCUGUUUUCUAGAUCUGGAUGGGCUGCAAUCCAAGUUGAUAGCUGAUGGAAAUGUCAUGAACAGCUGAUCUGGAAGCAAGGACUGUCAAAACACUCAUGGCUUACAACCUUAAGCCCAUUUUUAGCACCAAACAAAUAAUGUUCUGUUAUACUGAGCAACAGCAAACCUCCAGUUUUCUUUCUGUGAUUUUGCCUUGAAAUUUUGUUGUGAACUGUAUUAAAUACUUCUGCUCUCAAAUGUCAAAUGCAUGUACUGGUACAGUCAUAAAAUUAAACUUUGAUGGGA